rnacentral:misc_RNA from 1 species
CCUCCAAUUAUUAGUUUGACAUCAUAACCAACUAUAUAGACCAACCAUUCCAAUCCUCCUAACUCAACGUUCAACUUUCAAAGUACCCAAGGGGAAAGGGUCUUUUAGCCAACUUUGAGACCCCAAUGUCCCUUCACUGGAGACCCUGCUUCUUCUUCCUAGUAUUUCUCAAACUCUCCAUCUCUAUCUCCAAAUCAGUGAUCCCUCAGUUCCCAUGCCAGUCUCCACACCAUAACUCCUACCCUUUCUGCAAUAAAUCCCUAUCUGUUCCUGCAAGAGCUCACUCUCUCAUCUCUCUAUUGACCCUCCAAGAAAAGAUCUUACAACUAUCAGACAAUGCUUCAGGGAUCCCAAGACUUGGCAUCCCACCCUAUGAGUGGUGGUCUGAGUCUCUUCAUGGAAUUGCCACUAAUGGCCCUGGUGUCUCCUUUGGAAGUGGGCCUGUUUUUUCGGCCACAGGUUUCCCUCAAGUUAUUGUAUCAGCUGCUGCUUUUAAUAGGACUCUUUGGUUCUUGAUUGGUUCGGCUGUUGCUAUAGAGGCUAGAGCAAUGUACAAUGUUGGGCAAGCAGGGUUGACAUUUUGGGCUCCUAAUAUUAAUAUUUUUAGGGACCCCAGAUGGGGAAGAGGCCAAGAAACUCCUGGAGAGGAUCCUAUGGUGGCUUCUGCUUAUGCUAUUGAGUAUGUCAAGGGUUUCCAAGGUGGGAAUUGGAAGGUUGGUGGUGGUGGUCGAGGAAACGAUAGAUACGGAUUUGGAGAGAAAAGGGUGUUAAGAGAAGUUGAUGAUGGGCUUAUGCUGUCUGCUUGUUGCAAACAUUUUACUGCUUAUGACUUGGAAAAAUGGGGCAAUUUCAGUAGAUAUUCCUUCAACGCUGUGGUUACAGAGCAAGAUUUAGAGGACACAUAUCAGCCACCAUUUCGUAGUUGCAUACAACAAGGCAAAGCAAGUUGCUUAAUGUGUUCCUAUAAUCAAGUUAAUGGAGUGCCUGCAUGCGCAAGAGAGGAUAUCUUAACGAAAGCUCGAACAGAAUGGGGCUUUGAAGGAUACAUCGUCUCAGACUGUGAUGCUGUGGCCACAAUUUUCGAGUAUCAGAACUAUACAAAAAGCCCUGAGGAUGCAGUUGCUAUUGCUUUUAAAGCAGGUAUGGAUAUUAAUUGUGGUUCAUAUGUGAUCCGCCAUGCUCAAUCAGCAGUUGAUCAAGGUAAGUUGCGAGAAGAGGAUAUAGAUAGAGCUCUUCUCAAUCUUUUCUCGGUUCAACUCCGACUUGGGAUGUUUGAUGGAGACCCCAAAAAAGGGCAGUUUGGAAAACUGGGACCUGAAGCUGUUUGUACUGAAGAACAUAAGAAACUAGCACUUGAAGCAGCAAGGCAGGGCAUUGUGCUUCUUAAAAAUGAUAAGAAGUUCCUGCCAUUGAAUAAGAAAGCUGUUUCUUCCCUGGCUAUUAUUGGCCCACUGGCAAACAAUGCAACGAAUUUGGGUGGUGACUACACAGGAUAUCCAUGUGAUCCACGCAGCCUUUUUGCUGGACUAAAAUCCCAUGUAACAGAGACAUCUUAUUCAGUUGGUUGCCCUGAUGUUUCUUGUUAUUCUGAUGCUCAAUUUCACGAAGCAAUAGAUAUUGCCAAAAGUGCUGAUUAUGUAAUUGUAGUUGCUGGGCUUGAUUUGUCACAAGAAACUGAAGAACUUGACCGGGUUAGUCUUUUGUUACCUGGUAAACAAAGGGCUCUGGUAUCUUCUGUUGCAGCAGCUAGUAAAAAGCCAGUGAUUCUGGUUCUUACUGGUGGAGGACCGCUUGAUGUAUCAUUUGCCAAACUAGACCCGAAAGUUGCUAGCAUUCUUUGGAUUGGUUACCCUGGUGAAGCUGGUGCAAAAGCACUCGCGGAAGUCAUCUUUGGAGACCAUAAUCCAGGUGGAAGACUUCCGAUGACUUGGUAUCCUGAGUCUUUCACCAAGAUACCAAUGACUGAUAUGAAUAUGCGAGCUGAUCCUUUUCGUGGUUAUCCUGGAAGAACCUACCGUUUUUACACUGGAUAUCAAGUCUAUGGAUUUGGUGAAGGCUUAAGCUACACCAGUUUCACUUACAAGUUCUUGUCGGCACCAAGGAAGUUGAGUCUGUCAGAAUCUUUGACAGCAACUUCCAGAAAGAGAAUACUACACCAGAAAGGAGAAACACUUGGUUAUAUAUACAUCGACGAGAUGACUUCUUGCAAUUCAUUGAGAUUCUAUGUGCAAAUAUCUGUCAUGAAUGUUGGAGAUAUGGAUGGAAGCCAUGUUGUGAUGUUGUUCUCUAGAGUGCCAAAAGUUUUUAAAGGCACUCCAGAAAAACAACUCGUUGGAUUUCACCGCGUACAUACUAUUUCUUCCAUGUCUACUGAAACACGCAUCUUGAUAGAUCCUUGCAUACAUCUAAGCAUUGCAAAUGAGCAAGGGAAAAGGGUAAUGCCAUUAGGCAAUCAUGUCCUAAUGUUAGGAGAUUUAGAGCAUUUUGUUACCAUUGAAGCUUAUUGAUGCCACCAAAGGGGCAACUGUAUUGCUGCCACAAGCAUGAUUUUCAUCCAAAGGGCCUGACUUGAGUCAGCCCUCAAUGUCCUUCUACAGUUUCGAACCAAUAAUGAAAUGUGGAAACAAAUAAGACAGAACUCAAAAUUCUGAAUUUCUGUUAGCUACUUCCAAAUGGGUAUGUUGUGAUGACAUUGGAUGCGUGGGAAGAGUAGGAAAUGGAGUUGUUAGGCAUGACGCAGCAAUAUCAUAUGAUUUUGCGGGUUUGGCAGGUGGUCAACCUCAUAGCAUGUCUCUAUCAGAUUCUAUACAAUACGUG